rnacentral:rRNA from 1 species
GAUGAACGCUGGCGGCGUGCCUAAUACAUGCAAGUCGAGCGAACAGACGAGGAGCUUGCUCCUCUGACGUUAGCGGCGGACGGGUGAGUAACACGUGGAUAACCUACCUAUAAGACUGGGAUAACUUCGGGAAACCGGAGCUAAUACCGGAUAAUAUAUUGAACCUCAUGGUUCAAUAGUGAAAGACGGUUUUGCUGUCCCUUAUAGAUGGAUCCGCGCCGCAUUAGCUAGUUGGUAAGGUAACGGCUUACCAAGGCAACGAUGCGUAGCCGACCUGAGAGGGUGAUCGGCCACACUGGAACUGAGACACGGUCCAGACUCCUACGGGAGGCAGCAGUAGGGAAUCUUCCGCAAAGGGCGAAAGCCUGACGGAGCAACGCCGCGUGAGUGAUGAAGGUCUUCGGAUCGUAAAACUCUGUUAUUAGGGAAGAACAAAUGUGUAAGUAACUAUGCACGUCUUGACGGUACCUAAUCAGAAAGCCACGGCUAACUACGUG